UAUUCAAUCCAGGUUUAAGUCCUUCAGCAUCUGACAUUCUCCUGGCAACUGUAAUUCAAUCAAUGAUGACUCAUCUGAGAUGAGCAAGUUGGUCCAGUCAGACCAAACAAAAGACACUCUAUAAUCAGGGGAGAAGUCUUCUCUAUAUCUUUCUUAUAUGAGCAAAUUUAAUGACCUCCACCAUGUCUAAGAACAAGCAGCUAUUUCUGUAGAGAAAGAUCACCUUUGGAUAACAAUACAUGAUUUUAGGCUCUAAAAGUUAAAACGUGUUUGUAACGUUGAUAUUAUGCAGAGGUCUUGACAGAACUUAGCAGUCUCUGAGGCUACAGAGAAGUGUGAAAAAGAGCAUAGAGAUUUCAGAAGGAGGCAGAUUCAGUCAGACAUACUGAAUCCUGUUUGAUCUCAAUUCAGGCACACUCCAGAUGGAUGAUGUGAGAAUCACAGCAAAGGAAGAAUGGGCAUGAAUAGUAAAUGGUAAAUGUGGGGAUGCAGUAUUGAACAGCACACUGGAGUUUUUGUCCAGAAGUUUGACUUUAGAAGAUAAGAAAUAACUGAGCGUAUUACAAGCAGGAGUUAGAGGAAGAGACUCAGUACAGAAGAGACAGGAACAAAAGUUCACCUCCAUUAGAUGGGAAAGGAUACAGAUCAAGAGCUCAGGAAAAGUAGGAGAAAGAAGCUCUAUUCCAGAAGCAGUGUGGAGCACAAAGAAUCCCUAAUCCCUGACAUUAAGAAAGAAGAAAAAUAUUCCUAGGACGAUCCUGGAGAGCAAAGGUCAUUAGCAGUCACUUGACUUUCCUUGGAUUUCUCAACUGCAGUAGUCACACGGUCUGCUG
rnacentral:antisense_RNA from 1 species